rnacentral:lncRNA from 1 species
GUCACAAAAAAUGGAAAAUGGCCCUAGCCUGCAGUUCAGUCGUACACUAUUAAGAUUUAAAAAAAUAUUGUAGUUGUUGUUAAAUGACAGAAUUCAACUAGUUGAAUUUUAGAUCCUUAACUAUCAACUUUAAUUGAAUGUUUAGAUUUAGAAGAUGCAGAUCUCUUCCAUUGGUCUAAAUUGAAUCCUAAACUAAAGAAACGAAAUUACAUUAAACAACAAUUGAUUUCAAUAUUGUCAACCUUUCUACAUGUUCUAGCUGUUCUUUUUUUCAUUCUUUAUAUGAAGACUAUCAAAAGAUACCCCCCCCCCCCCCCCCCCAAA